UCAUCAAGACUUCUGGCUCCAGAGGGAGUCCUCUGACCUCCGUGCUACUUUCCAGCUGUGGAGUUUCCCCCAGCCUUGGAGAGGUGGCAUAGAAGCUUCCUGCAGCUGUGGAUAGAGAUUCCAGAGAGGCCACCUCGACUGUAGUGCUGGCUCCAUCCAGGGCUUCGGAGAGGCAAAGACAACGGCUGGAAGAGAAUAAAUGCCUCCUAUAAAGAUUUCUCAGGCCAACCCACGAAAGGACUUUUGAAAUGCCAUCGUGACCCCCUCGCUCAACGGUCCAGGAUGCCGACUCCUUUGCUCUCCCAGCUUAUGAAUGUCUUGAAGUCAUAGAACCUUCUUAUUUAAAAAUAAAAUUAAACCUCCUUGCCUGAGCGGUGAAGUCUUAAUGGCCUACAUAAGGCAAAUGGCAAUAAAGCAAAACAAGUGCAUCUUUAUGG